UUUUAUUAUAUUUCCAGUCAAAAUGCAAAAUGCUUCUGAGCUGACAAUGUUUAUUGGUGAAACAAUCUGCUCUACCACCCUCUCAUCUAUGUGCUAUUUAUAUAAUGAACUUCUUUAUAUCAAAAAAAAACAUGUAGAUACACGUAAAAUGAAUUAAAAAGCUUUAAAAUAAACAUAAAACCAUUCAACUAGAGUCAAAAAUAAAACAACUACGAUCAAGAACAUGAACUUGACCUUCGACCUUAUGACUUUUUAAAUUCAUCGUUACCCUCUGCUUAUGUAGAAGACCACAUGGUACUAUGAACUUUUAUGUCAAGAUUAUGAUUACUGACGUAAAUAAAAAAUUGUGGUGAUCCUGGAGUAUAAUGCUUAUGCUAUACAAGGUCAAAAUAUCAUAAUUUACCUAAUAAUGCAUCAAUUUUAUGAUUUUCUUAUUUCAUUGUCA
rnacentral:lncRNA from 1 species